GACGAACGCUGGCGGCGUGCUUAACACAUGCAAGUCGAACGGAAAGGCCCUGCUUUUGUGGGGUGCUCGAGCGGCGAACGGGUGAGUAACACGUGAGUAACCUGCCCUUGACUUUGGGAUAACUUCAGGAAACUGGGGCUAAUACCGGAUAGGAGCUCCUGCUGCAUGGUGGGGGUUGGAAAGUUUCGGCGGUUGGGGAUGGACUCGCGGCUUAUCAGCUUGUUGGUGGGGUAGUGGCUUACCAAGGCUUUGACGGGUAGCCGGUCUGAGAGGGUGACCGGCCACAUUGGGACUGAGAUACGGCCCAGACUCCUACGGGAGGCAGCAGUGGGGAAUAUUGCACAAUGGGCGGAAGCCUGAUGCAGCAACGCCGCGUGCGGGAUGACGGCCUUCGGGUUGUAAACCGCUUUCGCCUGUGACGAAGCGUGAGUGACGGUAAUGGGUAAAGAAGCACCGGCUAACUACGUG
rnacentral:rRNA from 1 species